rnacentral:rRNA from 1 species
UACGUAGGGUGCAAGCGUUGUCCGGAAUUAUUGGGCGUAAAGAGCUCGUAGGCGGUCUGUCACGUCGGCUGUGAAAUCCCGAGGCUCAACCUCGGGUCUGCAGUCGAUACUGGCAAACUAGAGUAUUGCAGGGGAGACUGGAAUUCCUGGUGUAGCGGUGAAAUGCGCAGAUAUCAGGAGGAACACCGGUGGCGAAGGCGGGUCUCUGGGCAAUAACUGACGCUGAGGAGCGAAAGCGUGGGGAGCGAACAGG